rnacentral:misc_RNA from 1 species
GUACGUUAGCCAUAGCCAUCGCCAUAGGGACUGACUGAUUUUCCCCAAGAAAACUCAAGACUCAGCGAGUCCAAGCAAACAAAUGGGUGUUUUUGCAGCAAUAGGGGUCAUUCUCCCAUUUCCGUACUACUACUGGCUAUGGACAAAACCACAGUCAUGGGUGAACCUUUGUGGGAAAGAGCGUGACCCAUGUAAAGUUAUGGCCCAUGUCUCCCAUUUCCUCAAGCUGCUUCAGUUCAUUUCUCUCUAUUCUGUCUCUUCCUUCUCCUUGCCUCCUCUCUACUUCUGGCCCCUCUUUGGCUUUGGUCAGUUUCUCAACUUCAGGGUAUACCAGUUGCUUGGUGAAUCAGGUACGUACUAUGGUGUACGCUUUGGAGAGAACAUUCCUUGGGUGACAGAAUUUCCAUUUGGUGUUAUAAAAGAUCCUCAAUAUGUUGGAAGCAUUUUGAGCCUUCUUGCAUGUCUAUCUUGGGUCCCCUUCCAAUACAUUCUUUUGUGGUCUCUGGGAUAUGCAUUCAUGAUUCAUGUGGAAUCAAAAGAGGAUCCGGCUACUCGUGCGNNCUUUCUUGAAUCUUGAUUGCAGUAAUUGCAGUUCACUAACCAAUGAUCUUGAAGAUUUUGAGGGGGGUAACAAUUUGAAGGUGCUUUACUGACUUUUAUCUAGUUUAAUAACACCUUUGAACAUUUUGCCCUUGUAUUCCAAUUUAUAUUUCAACUUUUUAUGAUUAUUUACAAUGCCUGUAACUCAUUCUCAUAGAAAUUCGUUAAGCAGGUUGUUUCUAGUUUUUUCCA